rnacentral:rRNA from 1 species
CAUGUCUUUUAGAAAAUAAUUUAAAGUCUAACCUGCCCAAGGGCCGCAGUUUUUGACUGUGCAAAGGUAGCAUAAUCAUUAGUCUUUUAAUUGAAGGCUUGUAUGAAUGGUUGGAUGAAAUAUUAACUGUCUCAAAUUGAUAAGAAUUUAAUUUUUAAGUUAAAAAGCUUAAAUAAUAUUAAAGGACGAGAAGACCCUAUAGAUCUUUAUAUUUUUAUUUUUAAUUUUUAUUUAGAAUAAAAUUUUUAAUAAUAAUGGGGUGAUAAUUAAAUUUACUUAACUUUAUUUAAUAAAAACAUUAAUUAUGAAUAAUUGAUCCAUUAUUAGUGAUUAAAAGAUUAAGUUACCUUAGGGAUAACAGCGUAAUUUUUUUAGAGAGUUCUUAUCGAUAAAAAAGUUUGCGACCUCGAUGUUGAAUUAAAGAUUAAUUAGUUUAAAUGUUUGGUCUGUUCGACCAUUAAAUCUUUACAUGAU